GGGUUCCCCGGUGUAGGUGGGUGCAGCCCCCCGGGGCUGAUGCUGCCACAUCUAAAGGCCAUCUACCCAGAAUCACAGGGAACUGGAUAAGACUCUAUGAAGGGGAGAUUGGUAAAGGCCCUUUAACCAGAUCUGAGCAAUGGGGAACAGUUGCAAAUGCUUCCCAAGAGCCUCUCAGUAAAAAGAGAUAAAGAAUAAUGGGAUAAUGAAAAUGCUUCACACUUUGGUUUUGGAAGAGGAGGGAGGAUACAGAGAAGCCCAAGGGUGAGAAGGUGUGGAAACAUGGAGAGGGCAUGGCUUUCCCAAAGCCACAGAGAACUAGCUUAGAACAGAGCUGGGGAUACAGCUCAUGAUCCUGCACCCCUUCGGGGCUUAUCUUUACAAUGCUCUGUGCUUCGACAACACUGUGGGGACACAGUCCCCUCCCCCUCCUUCUGUAAGACCAUUUAUUUGCUCACAAAUCAGGAUUAUUCAAGACA